UGGACUGAAGGUGGGGAAGGGGUCGAUCUUCAAACAGACCGUGGGCUGUUGCCAGAAGUAGGUAAACAGAGGUCAGGCGAGUUAACUACAACUAUGAUUUUAUCGUGCUACAUGUUGUGGGCACUGUUGAAAAUGCUACUAGACCGUGGGAAUGGAGAUAAAAAUCACACUCUCAUUUCAGCAUGAGGUAUGGAAUUCCUUUAAAGAAAACAGGUCUUUCACCAGACUCAUGUGCAGCCACCUGCCGCGUGGGAAGAAACCAGGUUUAUUCAGAGACAGAGGAGUGCUCUGUAAAGCUGGACCUCCCCAGGCUUAGGGCCACAGGCAGCUUCUGUGGUAGGGAAGGAGGUCAUGAGGCUGCCGACUGGGAUUCUCCUGCCCGUUACCCUACACGUAGGGCUCCGUCUGGGUUCCCCACUCCAUGUCAGCAUUAAUAAUUGCCUUUGCUCAAUGAUUCAUCCCCUGAAGAGCUCUACUGCCAGUAGGAUCCGACACGGUCAGAAGCAUUUGAGCUUUCGUUGGCCUCAAAACAGGAAUUACAACGGCUUUUGGCGAGUGUGAAGUCAUGGUAAGUCACGCUCUUCAUCUCCCAGAAAGGAAGACGAGGGUGCUCCUUAAAGUGGACCAGCCACCCGGAAGCACUCAGGCUUCACACAGAAACGCAAUCCCGAGUUCAGUGUUUCUGUUUUGUUUUGGUACCUUUAGCCGUAGUUUCCGUGGUUUCCG
rnacentral:lncRNA from 1 species